GGAUUGGUUCUAUGCAAUACUCAAGCAUUCAAUACUGUAAGACCUUCAAACUAGAUUGGUCCCAAAGACCCUUUACUUUACUCGGAAUUCAGUUUCAACACAACCAGGCUGAAAUGACAAUGACGACGUGGUUAAGAAGAGAAUUACUGUCCUUAAAAGCCUUAUAUUACCUUCCCUAAACCAUCUUUUUACCAUGUUGCCAAAUCCAAGAAGUGAUAUCAUUCAAAGUCUACA